rnacentral:lncRNA from 1 species
ACCGAGUUCGCAAAUUCAUCGACGGUCGAUCUUUCGCUAACUUUGGUUCAACGCGUCCAUUUUUAGUUAGGUACUUAAACCAACUCUAAUCGGACGAUUCAAACGGACAUCAGUUUCAUAUAUGUUUUUUGUCCGUUUGGGCUCGUCUUUAUUUACUUUUUGUUUAGAAUUGUAUGUGCAUCUAAUGAGAUGGACGUUGCAUUUUCUGACAUGUCCAUUACACAUUCGGUGGAACAUUUGGUGAAUGAGCUGCCGCACUGCAGCUCCC